rnacentral:lncRNA from 1 species
AUCGAUCAAAUGGAUCAAUACUUUCUGUAGAAAAAACUCAGUGAGAUUUGUUCGUAUGAGACGUUUAAGACUUGGAUAUGUCGCUAAAGACGCUCGAUCAUUGCACAGGUUUAUGGUUUAGUACUUUGUUCAGUUUGUUGCGACUUGCGAAGCAAAUGAAUGCAGAUUCAACUCUUGUAUAAUGACGAAAAGUUGGUUUGUAGAGGGACAACUUAUACAAAAGAUAUGAAUACAUUAGCUUCAAACUAGGGACAAGUUCAUGGACAUCCCUAAUAUAUGGACAUUGAUAUUUCACCAAUAUGUAAAUAUGACUAUUAAAUAUAUAAAAG